rnacentral:rRNA from 1 species
GGUUAAGCGACUAAGCGUACACGGUGGAUGCCCUGGCAGUCAGAGGCGAUGAAGGACGUGCUAAUCUGCGAUAAGCGUCGGUAAGGUGAUAUGAACCGUUAUAACCGGCGAUUUCCGAAUGGGGAAACCCAGUGUGUUUCGACACACUAUCAUUAACUGAAUCCAUAGGUUAAUGAGGCGAACCGGGGGAACUGAAACAUCUAAGUACCCCGAGGAAAAGAAAUCAACCGAGAUUCCCCCAGUAGCGGCGAGCGAACGGGGAGCAGCCCAGAGCCUGAAUCAGUGUGUGUGUUAGUGGAAGCGUCUGGAAAGGCGCGCGAUACAGGGUGACAGCCCCGUACACAAAAAUGCACAUGCUGUGAGCUCGAUGAGUAGGGCGGGACACGUGGUAUCCUGUCUGAAUAUGGGGGGACCAUCCUCCAAGGCUAAAUACUCCUGACUGACCGAUAGUGAACCAGUACCGUGAGGGAAAGGCGAAAAGAACCCCGGCGAGGGGAGUGAAAAAGAACCUGAAACCGUGUACGUACAAGCAGUGGGAGCACGCUUCGGCGUGUGACUGCGUACCUUUUGUAUAAUGGGUCAGCGACUUAUAUUCUGUAGCAAGGUUAACCGAAUAGGGGAGCCGAAGGGAAACCGAGUCUUAACUGGGCGUUAAGUUGCAGGGUAUAGACCCGAAACCCGGUGAUCUAGCCAUGGGCAGGUUGAAGGUUGGGUAACACUAACUGGAGGACCGAACCGACUAAUGUUGAAAAAUUAGCGGAUGACUUGUGGCUGGGGGUGAAAGGCCAAUCAAACCGGGAGAUAGCUGGUUCUCCCCGAAAGCUAUUUAGGUAGCGCCUCGUGAAUUCAUCUCCGGGGGUAGAGCACUGUUUCGGCAAGGGGGUCAUCCCGACUUACCAACCCGAUGCAAACUGCGAAUACCGGAGAAUGUUAUCACGGGAGACACACGGCGGGUGCUAACGUCCGUCGUGAAGAGGGAAACAACCCAGACCGCCAGCUAAGGUCCCAAAGUCAUGGUUAAGUGGGAAACGAUGUGGGAAGGCCCAGACAGCCAGGAUGUUGGCUUAGAAGCAGCCAUCAUUUAAAGAAAGCGUAAUAGCUCACUGGUCGAGUCGGCCUGCGCGGAAGAUGUAACGGGGCUAAACCAUGCACCGAAGCUGCGGCAGCGACGCUUAUGCGUUGUUGGGUAGGGGAGCGUUCUGUAAGCCUGUGAAGGUGUACUGUGAGGUAUGCUGGAGGUAUCAGAAGUGCGAAUGCUGACAUAAGUAACGAUAAAGCGGGUGAAAAGCCCGCUCGCCGGAAGACCAAGGGUUCCUGUCCAACGUUAAUCGGGGCAGGGUGAGUCGACCCCUAAGGCGAGGCCGAAAGGCGUAGUCGAUGGGAAACAGGUUAAUAUUCCUGUACUUGGUGUUACUGCGAAGGGGGGACGGAGAAGGCUAUGUUGGCCGGGCGACGGUUGUCCCGGUUUAAGCGUGUAGGCUGGUUUUCCAGGCAAAUCCGGAAAAUCAAGGCUGAGGCGUGAUGACGAGGCACUACGGUGCUGAAGCAACAAAUGCCCUGCUUCCAGGAAAAGCCUCUAAGCAUCAGGUAACAUCAAAUCGUACCCCAAACCGACACAGGUGGUCAGGUAGAGAAUACCAAGGCGCUUGAGAGAACUCGGGUGAAGGAACUAGGCAAAAUGGUGCCGUAACUUCGGGAGAAGGCACGCUGAUAUGUAGGUGAAGCGACUUGCUCGUGGAGCUGAAAUCAGUCGAAGAUACCAGCUGGCUGCAACUGUUUAUUAAAAACACAGCACUGUGCAAACACGAAAGUGGACGUAUACGGUGUGACGCCUGCCCGGUGCCGGAAGGUUAAUUGAUGGGGUUAGCGGUAACGCGAAGCUCUUGAUCGAAGCCCCGGUAAACGGCGGCCGUAACUAUAACGGUCCUAAGGUAGCGAAAUUCCUUGUCGGGUAAGUUCCGACCUGCACGAAUGGCGUAAUGAUGGCCAGGCUGUCUCCACCCGAGACUCAGUGAAAUUGAACUCGCUGUGAAGAUGCAGUGUACCCGCGGCAAGACGGAAAGACCCCGUGAACCUUUACUAUAGCUUGACACUGAACAUUGAGCCUUGAUGUGUAGGAUAGGUGGGAGGCUUAGAAGUGUGGACGCCAGUCUGCAUGGAGCCGACCUUGAAAUACCACCCUUUAAUGUUUGAUGUUCUAACGUUGACCCGUAAUCCGGGUUGCGGACAGUGUCUGGUGGGUAGUUUGACUGGGGCGGUCUCCUCCUAAAGAGUAACGGAGGAGCACGAAGGUUGGCUAAUCCUGGUCGGACAUCAGGAGGUUAGUGCAAUGGCAUAAGCCAGCUUGACUGCGAGCGUGACGGCGCGAGCAGGUGCGAAAGCAGGUCAUAGUGAUCCGGUGGUUCUGAAUGGAAGGGCCAUCGCUCAACGGAUAAAAGGUACUCCGGGGAUAACAGGCUGAUACCGCCCAAGAGUUCAUAUCGACGGCGGUGUUUGGCACCUCGAUGUCGGCUCAUCACAUCCUGGGGCUGAAGUAGGUCCCAAGGGUAUGGCUGUUCGCCAUUUAAAGUGGUACGCGAGCUGGGUUUAGAACGUCGUGAGACAGUUCGGUCCCUAUCUGCCGUGGGCGCUGGAGAACUGAGGGGGGCUGCUCCUAGUACGAGAGGACCGGAGUGGACGCAUCACUGGUGUUCGGGUUGUCAUGCCAAUGGCACUGCCCGGUAGCUAAAUGCGGAAGAGAUAAGUGCUGAAAGCAUCUAAGCACGAAACUUGCCCCGAGAUGAGUUCUCCCUGACUCCUUGAGAGUCCUGAAGGAACGUUGAAGACGACGACGUUGAUAGGCCGGGUGUGUAAGCGCAGCGAUGCGUUGAGCUAACCGGUACUAAUGAACCGUGAGGCUUAACCUU